GUGCUCGCUUUAACAGCACAUAUACUAAAACUGGAACAAUACAGGGAAGAUUAGCAUGGCCGCUGCACAAAGAUGACAUGCAAAUUCAUGAAGAGUUCCAUAUUUUC
rnacentral:snRNA from 1 species